rnacentral:ncRNA from 1 species
GAGAAGCACCAGGGGUGCCUGUAUCUGCCUCAGCACUGGCUAAUAUGGCCGGGAAGCUGGUACUGGCGGGUCAGGCUGAGAAAGUCCCUUUGAACCUGAACAGGGUAAUGCCUGCGUAGGGAGUGUGCAUUUUUUCUUUC